GACCGGGUGGCGGAAUGGCAGACGCGCUAGCUUGAGGUGCUAGUCCUCGAAAGAGGGUGGGGGUUCAAGUCCCCCCUCGGUCACAA
rnacentral:tRNA from 1 species